CCGCCGCUGCCGCCGCCCCAGUGGCCCUGCCAUGUACACUUAGCAAGCAAGCAGCGCACAAGAUGCACAAAGGAAAGGAAGAGAAGAACGCAUGAUGCAUGGAAAACAGAAACGCGCAGGCGUCCACACUGAAGUACUUGCAGAAAGCAGGGGGUGGAGCAGCGAUUGAGAUAUGUCAUCGGCUGCUCUUCCCUACACACUCGCCCCCCCCUCCCCUCCCUCUCCUACACGGGAUGCGAUGGCGUUGAUGCUGUGCUGAGGAGGAGGGCGGCAGCGGCGACUUUAUUGUACAUCCGUGAAUUCGGUGAUGGGAAGAGGGCAUGGCGGGAGCCGCCUUCGUCGCUUCCAUAUAUCCAGCGCCUCUCUUCCUCUCUGAGCAUGUCUGUAGCUGCGUGUGUGUGUGUGUCUAUGGACGACGCCGACGUGUUAAUGCCUGUCGGCGCACAAGUGAGUGCCCCGCCCCCAAAUGGCUCGUGUAGCUUUUUCGUUGGUACACCCUCCUCCCAUUCUUCGUCUCCACCUCGGCUACCCGCGUGCCCUCUGCGGCACCGCCGUAACACUAAGCAG
rnacentral:misc_RNA from 1 species